rnacentral:misc_RNA from 1 species
AAGUCGUAACAAGGUUUCCGUAGGUGAACCUGCGGAAGGAUCAUUUCCGAACAAAACAUCCAUAUCAACCAACCAUGUGAAAUGUUUUGGGUGACCUUUACUGGAGGGAUAGCUGGAGUUGUUAUGUACUACCUACUCUCGUAGUAGUAGUCUGUAUGUAGCUCAUCUCCGAUUUUUUUUUAUCCCUCCAGGCCUUGAUGAACUACCUUGUAACAAAGGUUGAUUUUAUAUCGUCUUUUCAACUUUAGAAAAGUAAAUGAUAUGACAACUUUUAACGGUGGAUCUCUUGGCUCGU